rnacentral:rRNA from 1 species
UACGUAGGGUGCGAGCGUUGUCCGGAAUUAUUGGGCGUAAAGGGCUCGUAGGCGGUCUGUCACGUCGGGAGUGAAAACUCGGGGCUUAACCCCGAGCCUGCUUCCGAUACGGGCAGACUAGAGGUAUGCAGGGGAGAAUGGAAUUCCUGGUGUAGCGGUGAAAUGCGCAGAUAUCAGGAGGAACACCGAUGGCGAAGGCAGGUCUCUGGGCCACUACUGACGCUGAGAAGCGAAAGCAUGGGGAGCGAACAGG